rnacentral:rRNA from 1 species
UACGAAGGGGGCGAGCGUUUGUUCGGAUUUACUGGGCGUAAAGGGUGCGUAGGCGGUUUGGUAAGUCUUAUGUGAAAUCUACAGGCUCAACUUGUAGUCUGCAUGAGAAACUGCCGGGCUUGAGUAUGGGAGAGGUGAGUGGAAUUCCUGGUGUAGCGGUGAAAUGCGUAGAUAUCAGGAAGAACACCCGUGGCGAAGGCGGCUCUCUGGGACGGUACUGACGCUGAGACGCGAAAGCGUGGGGAGCGAACAGG